GGGAAGCACAAGAAUUCAUUUUUGAAUUGUGUUAUAUUUUGACAAUGCAAAUUAAACUGUUUUCAUUCACAUUAAAGGAAAUUCUGACUCCUCUGUAAAAGAGAUACUGAAAGAGCACUUGUCAAAAGAGAGUGAAGGUAAGGAGGUUAAGAUAAGGAAGAUGUGAGACAUAUAGAAGGAGAAUCACAUGAAUCACAUGACAUAGACUUCAGGCUCAGAUUCAGAAAAGUAUGGUCUCCUCCCUGCCUCUGUCAUGGAGUUCCCCUACAGAAAGCAGCCUCCUGAAAUAAUCUCAACUCCACCUUGUCCCCAUCCUUUCCCCGUUGCUUGGUGCUGCUUUCUGUUUGAUUAACAGAAUCUUCUACUUCAAUCCAUAUCACCUUAAAACAUUAGACCAACUGUGGCAGCAGUGAGAAGGAGGAGCAAUGCAGAGUGACAUGCUUAAGCUGAACACAUUGAACAGAUAGCCAAAGUCAUGAAGUUACAGUGGUAUUCCAGGUAUCUCUGGUGGUGCCUGGGAAAUGGAAGUACUGUAGCUUAGUCUCCAAACUGGAUGGCAGUAAGGAGCAAAGAAACCCGUGGGACAACAUGGUCCACUACCAUUGCAGCAUAUCAGUGUGUCAGCAUAAAGAUGUGAAAGCUUGUUUUCAAAAUUUUAUUCAACCACAGGCACUGAAGGAUGUCAAGCAAUUGCAGUUGCAAUGUUAAAUCAGAAGAAAUCUUGCUACAAAAAAAAAAC
ensembl:lncRNA